GCUUUUAUAGUUUAAAUGAAAAAUAUUGAUCUUGUAAAUCAAAGAUAGUAUUAACUUAAAUGCU
rnacentral:tRNA from 1 species